GCCUGUGUUGCUCAAUGGUAAGAGCAUCAGCCCAUGCACAGAAGGGUCGCAGGUUCGAUUCCAGCCAAGGGUG
rnacentral:tRNA from 1 species